ensembl:snRNA U1 U1 spliceosomal RNA
AAACUUACCUGACAGGGGAGACAUCAUGAUUAAGCAGGUGGUUUUCUCAGGGUGCAGCUCAUGCCCGACACUCCAGGUGUGCUGCCCCCUGUAAUUUCCCCAAAUUCAGGGAAAUUUGACUGCAUAAUUUGGGGUAGUGGGGGACUGUGUUCACGCUCUCUCCUG